rnacentral:rRNA from 1 species
UAGUAAGAAAAUUUUUUAAAUUAAGUUUCUCGAAACCUGAGGAGCUACCUUAAAUUUUGGUUUAGCCUUAAAUAAAGGUGAGUGUGGCACAACUCUAUUUAAAAUUUAAGGUAGAGAUUAAAUGUUAUUCGUCUUAGGUGAUAGCUAGUUAUAAUAUAAAGAUAUAUAAGUAUCGGAUAUAAUUUCAUUAUGUGUUUAUAUUAUAUAUACAUAAUGACUUAUUUUCUUAAUUAUGUGAGGGUGAGCUCGCAUAAAUUUAUUUUAAUUAAAAUUAUAUAUGAAUCUAAGCUUGGGAUUAGCUAUGAUAAAUUGGAAUUUGUUAAAAAUACAUAUACACAAGAACUUUGUAAUAUAUUAAAUUUAUGUUAUUCAAUUAUAUAAUUAAAAUAAGGUUGAUUUAUGCUAAAAUGAGUAUUAUUAUGGGCAAAAAAAAAAAUAAAUUAAAUUUUUUUAAAAAUUUUUUAUAAAUAUUAUAAAAUAUAUCAUAGGAACUCGGCAAAAAUUUAGCUCCGCCUGUUUAGCAAAAACAUGUCUCUUUG